UCCCCAAGGCGAAGCAUGCGACGGGCGCCU
rnacentral:sRNA from 1 species